UGUGUCUUUCCUUUGAUCUUCCGAUGUGGAGACUUUGGGUGUGUGUAUAUAUGACAUUUUUGUUUUGACCAUGACACUCAUCUCGCUCUUUCUUUCUUUCUUGGGAGAACAAAGCUCGACAUGCAAGCUCGUCGUCAAUGGGUUAAGAGCAGGAUGGAAGACAGAGGAGCCAAACCUUGUGAAUUUUCUCAAACAGCUCCACCUCACAAACCCUCUGAUUCAGUUGCAAACACUACUUUUUCUGGUAAAUAAUAUGGUGAUAUUUUGAUGCUUUUCCUUCUUUGAGGUGCUAAUAGUAUCUCCAUUAAUGGUUCUAUCUUUUGGAUUUAAGAAACUUACCAUACAUGUUUGCGUAUUUAUACCAUUUAUCACUAUAAUGGUUAGGCAUCUCGAUAUUACUGUCACAGUGGUUAUGAAACACUAUGCUUCAUUUUUUGUCUUCUUUUAGCACAAUUAAUUGUUGGUUAGCGAAUGCAUUCUUUUUUAUUUAGAUUUGCAACUAGAAUAAUCAUGACUUUUGCAAUUUGUUUUUGCUCGAUUUCUAUUUAUACUCUAAAUCUAGUGGUAUUGGAUGAAUUUUUCAUAGGUUUGAAUCAUAAUUGUGAUGUGUAAUUUAGAAA